rnacentral:rRNA from 1 species
AUUGAACGCUGGCGGAAUGCUUUACACAUGCAAGUCGAACGGCAGCACGGACUUCGGUCUGGUGGCGAGUGGCGAACGGGUGAGUAAUGUAUCGGAACGUGCCCAGUCGUGGGGGAUAACGUAGUGAAAAUUACGCUAAUACCGCAUACGAUCUAUGGAUGAAAGCGGGGGAUCGCAAGACCUCGCGCGAUUGGAGCGGCCGAUAUCAGAUUAGGUAGUUGGUGGGGUAAAGGCACACUCAGCCAACGAUCUGUAGCUGGUCUGAGAGGACGACCAGCCACACUGGAACUGAGCCACGGUCCAGACUCCUACGGGAGGCAGCAGUGGGGAAUUUUGGACAAUGGGCGAAAGCCUGAUCCAGCCAUUCCGCGUGCAGGAUGAAGGCCCUCGGGUUGUAAACUGCUUUUGUACAGAACGAAAAGGUUUCUACUAAUACUAGGAGCUCAUGACGGUACUGUAAGAAUAAGCACCGGCUAACUACGUGCCAGCCGCCGCAGUAA